CCGGAACCGGAAAUGCCUUCUUUCCGUAACGCGAGAACGCCGCUGGCCACGCCCCUUCCGGAAGGUGCGGUCCGGGCGGGAAAAGAGUUCCCGUCCAUGAGACUUCUGGGCUGUGUAAGCAUGUGCCGUGGAGCUGAAACCUGGAAGGACCCUUGUACCCUAAUUUGUUCAACUUGAGCUUUCAUAGGACCUGGACAGCCUUUUAGCAGCCCUAGAUAAUUGUAUAAACUGGUUUAACAACUUUAAAAA